rnacentral:rRNA from 1 species
AUUGAACGCUGGCGGCAUGCCUUACACAUGCAAGUCGAACGGCAGCACGGGUGCUUGCACCUGGUGGCGAGUGGCGAACGGGUGAGUAAUACAUCGGAACGUACCUUAUCGUGGGGGAUAACGCAGCGAAAGCUGUGCUAAUACCGCAUACGAUCUAUGGAUGAAAGCGGGGGACCGUAAGGCCUCGCGCGAUUGGAGCGGCCGAUGUCAGAUUAGCUUGUUGGUGAGGUAAAAGCUCACCAAGGCGACGAUCUUUAGCUGGUCUGAGAGGAUGAUCAGCCACACUGGGACUGAGACACGGCCCAGACUCCUACGGGAGGCAGCAGUGGGGAAUAUUGGACAAUGGGCGAAAGCCUGAUCCAGCAAUGCCGCGUGAGUGAUGAAGGCCUUAGGGUUGUAAAGCUCUUUUACCAGGGAUGAUAAUGACAGUACCUGGAGAAUAAGACUCCGGCUAACUCCGUGCCAGCAG